rnacentral:ncRNA from 2 species
GGUCACGAGAGCCAGCGACAAGCCCCAGCUAGCUGGCCGGCAACCCUCCCACCGCGGUGGGGUGCCCUGGGUGAGGACCUGGCCGCACCGCCGACCGGCGGACGCGGCAAGCGCGGGCG